rnacentral:misc_RNA from 1 species
CAAAAAUGGACAACUUACUAAUUUAUUUGAAUAGACAAAAAUAUGAGACUACCAGAACUGGAAGUACUCAACAAUAGCCUAUAAGGUGUUUUUUGAAAUCUAAACCUAAAUUAUAAGUUUUUUUAGUAUUAAAAACAGGAAGAAAGGGCAAUUUGCCUCCUGAAAUUGAUAGUGAUGGCUAAUUAUGCUUGCAUUUGUAAAUUAGGGUCAAUCAUACAUAAAAG